AAUUACUUGGGCCAGGGGAAUGCAAACUGUGAUCGCAAUGCAAAAAGUUUGUUCGUUUGGCUUAAGUUAUUU
rnacentral:pre_miRNA from 1 species